CCUAAGGGCGGCAGCAGUGGGGAAUAUUGGACAAUGGGCGAAAGCCUGAUCCAGCCAUGCCGCGUGUGUGAAGAAGGCCUUCGGGUUGUAAAGCACUUUCAGUGGGGAAGAAAGCCUUGGGGCUAAUACCCUCGAGGAAGGACAUCACCCACAGAAGAAGCACCGGCUAACUCCGUGCCAGCAGCCGCGGUAAUACGGAGGGUGCGAGCGUUAAUCGGAAUUACUGGGCGUAAAGCGCGCGUAGGCGGUCUGAUAAGCCGGUUGUGAAAGCCCCGGGCUCAACCUGGGAACGGCAUCCGGAACUGUCAGGCUAGAGUGCAGGAGAGGAAGGUAGAAUUCCCGGUGUAGCGGUGAAAUGCGUAGAGAUCGGGAGGAAUACCAGUGGCGAAGGCGGCCUUCUGGACUGACACUGACGCUGAGGUGCGAAAGCGUGGGUAGCAAACAGGAUUAGAUACCCUAGUAGUC
rnacentral:rRNA from 1 species